GCGACAUUACUAUGAGGAACCUUUCUUUCCUUUUUUUUGUGUUUUAAUUUACUCGUGAACGAUCCAGAUGAGCACAACUGCAGCCACAAUCAACAGAGAUCCAGCAGCAACAGCGGAGAUCAGCACUAUCAGCGAUACAGUGUCUGGAGGGUUCUGCUGAGCAGCUGAAUGUCUUCAACCACAAAGAUAACAGUCCUGUCUGGCAGUUUAGGAGCGAGGAAAGGACUCUC